GCGCAGGUGGGUUACCGGUAAACCGCCACUUCUACCAAUUUGGAUAAGCGGGUUCGAUUCCCGCCCUGCGCA
rnacentral:tRNA from 1 species